GGUGCCUUAGCAAAGUGGUUAUGCACCGGACUGCAAAUCCGUUCACGGCGGUUCGAAUCCGCCAGGCACCU
rnacentral:tRNA from 1 species